GUCUCAUGGACUUGAAAAAGUGUGAAGGCAACUGUAAUGCUUUUUCUAAGAAAGACUUUAGAAUAUGUAUAGAUAUUUUAUUAUUUAAAUUGGACAUCAAAUUUCCUCAGUAUAUUGCUUGUGUUUUGUUAUUCCUAGCAACUUGGACCUACAAAAAAACGAUGUUCUAAAUGCCAUCAGGUAUUCUGUUUUCCUAAGAAAGAAGUUCAAGAAAGUUCAGACAAAAAUUACACUGUUCUGUUUAUUGCCUUAAUCUAAAAAUUCUUUGUAUUUCCCACUUCAUUGAUAUAUAGUGUGUGAGCCCAGAAUUUCUAGAAGAUAUAGGACACAGAUAUUAUAAAGUUUUAAGGGUAACUAUCUUACAGAAAAAAUCUUGACCUGGUUCUAAAAUCUGAUGUUACAGUGUUUCAAUAUUAUAGUUUACCUUGAAAUACAAAUCACUGAGCAUUUUGGUCACAGUAAAUAAGUAACUACGUUGGUCUCAUGAACUCCUCCUCAUGUCACAAGGUAGUAAGUGUGUCUAUAGACACACGUGAUGCUAGUAAGCUUAGUUUUGAGUAAGUUUAUCUAUAUUGAACAAAUUUUCAAUAUUUGAAUAAGUUUCCUGGAAAUCAACCCAAGGGUCGGGGGGGGGGGGUGGAAUAAAAAUACAAAUUAACUGUGUCAUGUAAUUGUAUAGAACUCCCAUGAUCCUAGGGUCCCCUUUAGUAUUUAAAAAUGAAAUUUGAUCAGUGAUAUUAGAAGCAUGUUUUGGGGUCAUAUAUUUUUGUUUUUGCUUCACACACUUAUACCAUUAUCCAUUCCUUUCAAAGUUUCUCCUCAGCUAAUAUUUAUGUGUAUCUGUUUGGGUGGACAAAACAAUGUACGGCCUUUCCCACACUAGUGGAUUAGCCCUAAGGGAAUAUCACUGGAGCUAUUUCAGAGAAGUUAGGGUGGGGUGACCCUGGUGUUCCUGGGAUGGUCCAAUUUGGGCACUGAAAGUCCCAUGUCCUGGGAAACCUCUUGGUCUGGGAAAACUGGGAUCGUUGGUUACUCUGAGAUCUUCUUACCCUCCAACAUCUCUACCACUAGCCUGUCACAGAGUCUGAAAUGGAUCCUUUAGACUGAGUGCUGUGUUUUCAGCAAUCUCAUGUUAAAAUGUAAAUAUACCAAGAUAACUGAUUAAUAUUGGUUUUCAUCAUUUAUUUUUUACCGAGUAUAUGUUUAUCAGCCACAUGGCUUCCACUUCAGAGAGCAGAGAGCUGAGCCAGGCAGAAGAGUAAUUAUUCACAGGGGGGAGAAAAGGAAAAGAACAACCAUUUGUUAAGGACCUACUGCGUGCUGAGGAGUUUGGUGGGCUCUUAAUGGAAACAGAAACAAGGCAAUAGCCUCUAAAGUGGAUGCGAUAUUGGGUUGGAGAAUGGGAAAGAUGAGCGAAUCCUCCAAAAGAAGUCAUUACUUGCCUGAGUGAAGAUACACCUGUGGUUGAACAUAGACCUGCUUAUGGGCUCCGCAUCUUUCUGACAAUAUAAUUGGCACCCAAAGUUUUAACCUCCAACACUGAAAUCCUCAUCACUAAAAGUGGGAUAUGAUACUUUCCUAAUAAGAUUCUGUGUUUUGUGAAAAUUAAAUGAUAUAAAGCGUGUGAAAUACUUAGGGUAAUGUCUACUACCUAAAAGAGCAGUAUAUAAAUAGAAAGUGUUACUUUUGUUGCUGUUAGUGUAUUUGCUCAGGGACACCCUGCUCAAAAAGCUGUGGCUUCUGAGUUGGUGACAUUCAUGGCCACUUUCAAGAGCGUAUCAUUCCUUUGUCUCUGUGACAUCUAGGCUAUUUGAUGCCUUUGCUGGAAACUGCUGGAUUUAUUAUUCCAUAUGUGUGGAUAUGUGUAUACAAAUAGGAAAAAAAAAACCUGCACAGCAAAAAGCAAUUGGAUUUGUUUAUAAAGUCAUAAUCACAGGAGCAUUGUUUCUCUUCUAUGCCUCAUUCUGGGUCCUAUUCUAUUAAAUUUCUCUCAGGCAUCAAUUCAUUGCCUUCAAUUUUUAUGGGUUUUAAAUCAUAUAGAAGGUGCUCUAUAAAUGCAAAAUAAUAAAAAAGGAGAACAAUUUUGGGCAUUUCCAUGUGUACACUAUCAAAAGUACUGCAAAAAAAUUCUUCAUUUUCCUCCACAAAGCUCUGCCUGAACAUUAUUUAUGGUAGCAGCAAAAUAGUCAACAUGGAAUGAGAAUUCGCCCAGCUAAAACAUCUGAGUUAUUCAUAGGUGAACCAAUGGCCUAAACUGUCAUUACAUUUCACGAGCAGCAUUCCAGUGAUAGAGUCAUACAAAAUUGAAAUUGUAAUGAAAUGUAACUUUCCAUGUAUUCAUGGAUUUAAAGGGAAAAAAAGAAUACCAUUUCCUCCAAUGGGUGUCGAUUUAAAGUACAGUUUCCUAUUUUUUUGUUUAGGUACCUACUAAAGAGAGUACAGUAUCUGUGACAAUAUGAGAACUUUCUUAAUCUACUUUUAUUCCCUAAAUAAGUAUAGAUGUGAACACUUGAAAUUCAUCUUUAAAGUCUUGAUAUAAAUGUAAAGAGCAGAAAAUCACACAUUGUCAAAUAUGUGAGGUAUAGCAAAGCAUAGUCAGUAUGAUCCCCUCAUGUUACAAGUGAGAAAUUUGCUUUGAGUCUGCAUACACAGAUGACACAUCUAAUUUUUUAAUUUCAAUUCUUUUUCCAUUACAUUUUUUUAAAGGAAAAAUCUCAGCAAACCGUAUUGUAAUAGGUUCUAAGGAGAGAGGGGGGAAUAGAGAAGUGCCUUCCAAAAUGCUAAAAAGGUCCAAUAGUUCUGAUAAUUUUAAAAUGCUGGUAAAAUAUAGAUAUAAUCAAUAUUAUCAGGAUGACCAUAAAGAGGAUGAGCAAAGUAACUUUUGGAAUAGAUUCCAAACUGCCUAACAAUGACCUUCUAUUCAACCCUGGCAAAAAUUCUAAGGAAAUGAUGUAUUACAUUAUUUACCUGGUAAACUAUGGGGAUACUGAUUUUUUUCCCCCUAGAAAACAAAGCAGUAAAAGCAAUGAUUAAUUAAGCCUCAUUUAUUUCUGGUUACUCACCCUAGUUAGUUUAGAGUUUCUCAAAAUGAGGUCUCUAGACCACCAGCAUCAAAAUCAGUGUAGUGCUUGUUAAAAAUGCAGGUUCCUGGGCCAUUCUUCAAACCUAGUGGAUUGUAGUAUCUGAGGGAUGGGGCUUGAGAAUCAGCCUGUUAAUAACUUCCCCGGAUGAUUUUGAAGCAAUAAUACUUUAGAGCUAUAUCUAAGUAUUAUUCUUUUAUGUUUGAUUAAUGGUUUGAUAAAGUAAAAGACGAUCUUAUGCAUUACUUAGGGUUAGUGCUAUUUGAAAAGGUGGCUGUACUAAGUGUUCUUUGCAGGGGAUUUUGGGUUCUAUUGUUAUAUGGAAUAAAUAUUUCAUUUUAUGUGGCAGCAUCUGAAAAGCCUACCAAAGAAAUUUCUUGGAACACAAAGGUUGAGCCUAUAAAGUGUGGCACUGUUGAGGUAGUUCUUUUGCAUAGACCACUGGGAUUUGAAUAAUGGACAUCAUGUCUGCUAGAAUUUGUAGAAUCAAUAGGCUUACUCAGAGAUGGAAAAAUGAUGCCAUCAAGCAGGAAUUGGCAAAUUUAUUCUGUAAAAGGCCAGAUAAAUAUUUUAGGCUUUAUGGGUCAUACUAUCCUGUUGCAACUACACAACUCCUUUGCUGUAGUAUGAACACAGUUAUAGAUUUACAUAAAUGAAUGAACAUGACUAUGUUCCAAUAAAACUUUAUUUACAAAAGUUUUAUUCACUGUCUGUAUUUGGCCUGUGGACCAUACUGUGCUGAUCCCUAUCAGAGAACAUUUAAUGUGCAAUUCAAUCAAUACUUAUUUAUUAAAAUUUUUAAAAAAUGUUUAUUUAUUUUACAGAGAGAGAGAGACUGAGCAUGAGCAGGGGAGGGGCAGAGAGAGAAGGAGACACAGAAUCCAAAGCAGCCUCCAGGCUCUGAGCUGUCAGCACAGAGCCUGAUGCGGGGCUCAAACUCACGAACUGUGAGAUCAUGACCUGAGCCAAAGUUGGACACUCAACUGACUGAGCCACCCAGACACCCCUAAUUCAAUCAAUAUUUAAAUUAAGAAAGCACAAAGCACAAAUAUUGAAUAAAUUUUGAUAAUCUGUAUUUAUAUGAGAAUGUUGAUAAAAUAGGUAAAAUGAAAAAUAUGGAUAUGGCAUUUCUUUUGCUUUCUGUCCUUAUUUGUGAUCCAUUGUCCUUUUCAUGGGUAAUAAAACAAUUUGAUAGGUUCUAAAUAUAGCCACAGACUGACCUAUCAUCAAGAGGUGAAGUCUGUUUCCACAAUUCUUUAAAUUUGACCUGUGAUUUGCUCUGUCCCAUAGAAUGCAGCAGAAGUGAUAUUUUUCCAGUUCUAACCCUAGGCCUUGAGAAGUCGUGAAGCUUCCAUUCUCAUUCUAGAAAUGAUGACAGAGAGUGAAAAUCCAUGUGGAUGGGGCGCCCAGCUGCCUCUGCCUUCCCAGCCAUCUCAGUUGAGGCCCACACCUGCGAGUGAACCCAGCUGAGAACACAGUAAACACAGCCCAAAUUACCAAGUCACAGAACAGUGAGUUGAAUCAUUGUUCCUGUUUUAAGCUGCUACCUUUCAGUAUGUUUUAUUAAGCAGCAGCAGAUAACAGAUACAAAUAGGAGCAAGAUCAUGAGCUGAGUGUGAAAGAUGGAGGCUGUGUUUGAAGGUUAAAGAGAAGCCCGAAAUGGAGAGGGUUUGAGAUGGUGUAUCUAUGUAUCCUGGGGAAAUAUAGUAGGGCUGCUGGAGAGCAUGAGGACUUCAUCUGAGUUCUAGCAUUGGACAUGAAGAUAACAGCCUUACCGAAGGAAAGAGCAUGAGUAGGGGAAGAGCAGAGAGAGGGAGACACAGAAUCCGAAGCAGGCUCUGGGCUCUGAUCUGUCAGCACAGAAUCCAAUGCGGGGCUAGAACUUACAAACUUGUGAGAUCAUGAGCUGAGCUGAAGUCGAGACACUUAGCCGACUGAACCACCCAGGCGGGCCUGACGUUCGGCUAGAUUUGAAAGUAACUCCAGUAGAGCUCUUGUUGACAAAGCUGAAACGUUGGGGUACAGAAAGGUUUGAAGUAAAAGGAAUGGAGAAAGAUAGUAAUUAAAGCUGCUGUAGUUAUUCAAAUAUAACAAUACAGCCUUUAAAAUAUCAUUAGAGAUACAGGAACAUAUUUCAUAUUGAUGAAGGAUUAAAAUUCAUAGAAGAUCUAACUCUAAAUGUAUCUACAGUUAAUAGCUUUAAAAUAUGAAAAGCAAAAAUUGACAGCAGGAAGAAAAUGAUUUUGACCAUGAUAGUGGGAGACUCUAAUAAAACCAUUUCAGUAAUUGUUAAGCAGACAGUCUAUCAGGAUAUAAAAUAUUGGACCAAUGCAAUUAACAAUAUUGAUCUGGUAGAUGUAUAUGGAACACUGCACAAAACAAUUGAAUACAUAUACUCAAACACACAGGAAACACAUAAAAUGACCAUUUAGGAGGCUUGUGCCAUCGAUAUAUUUCAAAUGAUUGAGACUACAGAGACCGCAGUCUCUGACCACGAUGUAAUUAAUUUAAAAUGGCUAACAUAAAGAUAACUAAAAACUUCCAUGGCAGAGAAUGCUAAUUAUUUCCCCCGUAUCCAGUCCCCCUUCUUAGUCUGUGAGUAGAACUCACUGAGCCAGGAACAUGGUGGUUCUGCCUGCCUUGCAACUGGGUCUGGAGAUUGCUUUCAGGUUGAGGUGCUUGGUGCAACUUUGUGGGGACCUGAUUUAGAAAGGAAAUGGGUUUAAGAAAAUUCUUCCCUGUCCAUGGGCUGGAAGGUAGAUGGAGGUUAGUGAAGCAAUUUUCCUUUGCAAAGGACGGCAGCACCCUAGGGGCUGGGAUAGCACAAUGGACAGACUCCUCCAGCAGAGCAGUCCCUACAGGCUGGC